AGGGAGAGGGAGGAGGAGGGAGAGAAAGUUCUGAAGCGCUCAGUCUUGGAGGAUGAGGGAGGAGGGCAAUUCCCUAAUGUCCACUGGAACUCGGAAGGACAGGCAGGCGUGGCGGACUGGAGAUGGCGGCUCGCCUUGGGACCCUCUGAGUUCGCGGGCCCCACUGAGCACCCAAAGGCCGGCCCUGGAGUCCAGGAGGAGAGCGCAGCCGCACGGAGCUCCCAGGCAUCCCCCGCAGCGCGUCCUCGGUCCUGGCACCGCCGUGCCGCGCGUCCUGGCUUCCACAUCUGCCCCAUUUGCCCACGGAUCUUGACUUUUUCUUGGCGGGCAAGGCCUCGGUCUCCACCCCGCAGCGGGGUUGCCCGCGGCUGCGGGACCCUCCUGGUCCUGAUGCCUGGCAGAAUCGAAGGGGUAAGGGCACGCGCUCUGCAGCAGAAAGCCCUGGGCUUAAAGUCCCACUUAUUAUUUGGCGUUGCCACUUACUGGUCGGUGGCUUUGGUAGGGCGCGUUUCUGAGCCUCAGUUUCCCCAUCUGUAAAGCCGAAGUAAAUAGCGCUCUCCUGGCAGAGUUAGAAAUUUCGACGAUGUGCCGCGCGUUCUAGAGCGUGCUCAGCAAGCGGGUCCACCGUGCCCAAGGCAGGACCGCGGCGCAAUGUCACCCACGCAAAGUCGCCGCAACUCACGGGAAUCGCAGCUGUGUGCUGAACCUUCCCCACUCCGCCGCCCUCUUUCUCCCCAAACUGACCUGGGGGCGAGUAUCCGGGGCUCUCCCCCACACUGGCGCUUCCCGCGCGGGCGCCCCAGGUGAACGUCCCGCCCUCGGCCUGGCAGGGCAUCCAGAAGUGUCCGCGCUCCCGGAGCUGGGCGGAGCGGGGCGCAGCCCACGUGGUUCGGGCAGGAGGCGCCGGGACCUGGCCAGCUGCCCGCCUGCCCCGAGAUCCAGGCGCGAGCCAGCCGCUCUGCGCCCCGCGCCCUGCUUGCCCCCAUUAUCCAGCCUUGCCCCGGCGCCCUGACCUGACGCCCUGGCCUGACGCCCUGCUUCGUCACCCUCCUUUCUCUCCCAGGUGCUGGACCAGGGACUGAGCGUCCCCCGGAGAGGGUCCGGUGUGACCCCAACAAGAAGCAGAAAUGGGGAAGAAACUGGAUCUUUCCAAGCUCACUGAUGAAGAGGCCCAGCACAUCUUGGAAGUUGUUCAACGAGAUUUUGACCUCCGAAGGAAAGAAGAGGAACGACUAGAGGGGUUGAAGGGCAAGAUUAAGAAGGAAAGCUCCAAGAGGGAGCUGCUUUCCGACACUGCCCAUCUGAAUGAGACCCACUGCACCCACUGCCUGCAGCCCUACCGGCUGCUUGUGAAUAGCAAAAGACAGUGCCUGGAAUGUGGCCUCUUCACCUGCAAAAGCUGUGGCCGCGUCCACCCGGAGGAGCAGGGCUGGAUCUGUGACCCCUGCCAUCUGGCCAGAGUCGUGAAGAUCGGCUCACUGGAGUGGUACUACGAGCACGUGAAAGCCCGCUUCAAGAGGUUCGGAAGUGCCAAAGUGAUCCGGUCCCUCCAUGGGCGGCUGCAGGGUGGAGCUGGGCCUGAGUCAAUCUCUGAAGAGAGAAGUGGAGACAGCGAGCAGACAGAUGAGGAAGGAGAACUGGACUCAGAGGCCCAGGCCCAGCCCUUUGGCAACGAAAAAAAGCGCCUCCUCUCCAUCCAAGACUUCGACUUCGAGGGAGACUCAGAUGACUCCGCUCAGCCUCAAGGUCACUUCCUGCACCUGUCCUCAGUCCUUGAGGCCAGGGACAGCCUGCAGUCCCUCACAGAUGAGUCCUGCUCGGAGAAGGCAGCCCCCCAGAAGGCUGAGGGCCUGGACGGGGCUGACACUGGGGCCUCUGGGUGCCAGCGCCAUACAGAAGAGGAGCCGAUGAGCGUCUCGCCUUCUGGACACGGCGCCCUCGCUGAGCUCUGCCCGCCUGGAGGCUCCCACAGUAUGGCCCUGGGGGCCGCUGCUGCACUCAGGUCAAAUGUCAUCAGGAAUGAGCAGCUGCCCCUGCAGUACUUGGCCGAUGUGGACACCUCGGAUGAGGAAAGCAUCCGGGCUCACGUGAUGGCCUCCCAUCAUUCCAAGCGGAGAGGCCGGGCAUCCUCUGAGAGUCAGAUCUUUGAGCUGAAUAAGCGUAUUUCAGCUGUGGAACACCUGCUGACCUACCUGGAGAACACAGUUUUGCCUCCCUUGGCCAAGGGUCUAGGUGCUGGAGUGCACACGGAGGCUGAUGUAGAGGAGGAGACCCUGAGGAAGAAGCUGGAGGAGCUGACCAGCAAUGUCAGUGACCAGGGGACCUCGUCCGAGGAGGAGGAGGCCAAGGAUGAAAAGGCAGAGCCUGACAGGGGCAAAUCAGUUGGGGCUGUCCCCCAGGCGGACCCAGAGGUGAGCAUGGCUGCCCAUCAAACCAACAGACAGGAAAAGAGCUCCCAGGGCCCUGGGGACCCCGUCCAGCACAGCAGGACCACAGAUGAGGAGCUGUCGGAGCUGGAGGACAGAGUGGCAGUGACGGCCUCAGAAGUCCAGCAGGCAGAGAGCGAGGUUUCAGACAUCGAAUCCAGGAUUGCAGCCCUGAGGGCCGCGGGGCUCACGGUGAAGCCUUCGGGAAAGCCUCGAAGGAAGUCAAACCUCCCGAUAUUUCUCCCUCGAGUGGCUGGGAAACUUGGCAAGAGACCAGAGGACCCAAAUGCAGACCCUUCAAGUGAGGCCAAGGCAAUGGCUGCGCCCUAUCUUCUGAGAAGAAAGUUCAGUAAUUCCCUGAAAAAUCAAGGCAAAGAUGAUGAUUCUUUUGAUCGGAAAUCAGUGUACCGAGGCUCGCUGACACAGAGAAACCCCAACGGGAGGAAAGGAAUGGCCAGCCACACCUUCGCGAGCUUUAAAUUUUCAAAUACUUGCUGUCCACACACCCCAUUGGAUGAGGACCUGUGUCAUUGACCCAAAUUUAUAGCUGAGAAAACAGAGGCAGAGAGAGGCUAAGUAAAACACCCCAAGGGAGUUCACCUAAUAUUGUGAAGAACGCAAACCCAGCGUUUGACCAACUUGUCCAUGCAUAAACCUGUGGUGGCCCAUCAGCCCUAACAGGGGACAGGACAGAGCAACAGAGCAGCCCUGCACUCUUUUCCCUCCACCACGGCCAUCCUGUCCCUCAUUGGCUCUGCGCUUACCACUGUACACAGUCACCAUCCCAGUGAGAAACAAGGAGCACCCUCUACGUGGACUUCCCCUGCAAGAGGACAGCGACAUUCAGUCCUGCACUGCUCAUUUGGGUUUACUGAUGACUCCUGGCCACCCCACCAGCCCCUCUGAUCUGUGAGAAACAGCUAAGCCGCUGUGACUUCCCUUUAGGACAAUGUUGUGUUAACCUUUGAAGGACACACAGAAGACCUUUAUACUGUGAUCUUUUACCCCUUUCACUCUUGGCUUUCUUAUAUUGCUUUCAUGAAUGAAAUGGAAAAAAAGAUGACUCAGUUAAGGCACCAA